UUUUUCUGGGCUCGGUAAAACGCCUUACACAUAUCAUAAAUACGGGAAAUAUUCCCUUUGCCAGAAUACAGAAAUUCCAAAUACUCCAUUAAUUCUUUAACAAAUUCACAGUGAUUAAUAAGACUAAUCACCUCACUAUGAAUAGAAUUUCAAAUCUGCAGAAAUAAACGAGCAUCAUCCCUCAUCCAAUCUCUACGAGUUUCAUCAGUUGGAGGAUCCUUGGUAAGAUGAUCA
rnacentral:lncRNA from 1 species